AAGCUUUGUAACUUAAAAAUUUUAUAAAUUUAUAAUUAAUUUUUUCCAAUUGAGCAACAUGACAUUUGUAAAAUGGAUUCCAUACAGUUGAGCAGUAUUCCAAGAUAGAUCUUACAAAAGAGUUAUAAAGGAGAAUAAUUGUGCUGACAUUUUUAAAAUCACGUCCCACUCUCAACACAAAGCCAAGCAUUCGGAAUGCUUUAGCAGUAACAUAAUUAAUAUGUGACUUAAAAGUCAAUUUGUUAUCGAUAGAUAUACAAUAUUACCAAACCGACAAAUGGAGGAGGAAGAAAAAAAUAAAUCUUUAGAAAGAAAAAUUAAAAUAUUAAGAAAUAAAUAAUUGAUAAAAUAUA